GUCGGAAUCGCUAGUAAUCGCGGAUCAGCACGCCGCGGUGAAUACGUUCCCGGGCCUUGUACACACCGCCCGUCACACCAUGAGAGUUUGUAACACCCGAAGCCGGUGGCGUAACCCUUUUAGGGAGCGAGCCGUCUAAGGUGGGACAAAUGAUUAGGGUGAAGUCGUAACAAGGUAGCCGUAGGAGAACCUGCGGCUGGAUCACCUCCUUUCUAAGG
rnacentral:rRNA from 1 species